GCCGGGCAUGGUGGCCCAUGCCUGCAAUCCCAGUGGCUCUGGAGGCUGAGGCAGAAGGAUUGUGUGUUCAAAACCAGCCUCAGCAAAAGCAAGGUGCUCAGCAAAUCAGUGAGACCCUGUCUCUA
rnacentral:sRNA from 1 species